rnacentral:misc_RNA from 1 species
AGAAGAACUAGAACAUAAUAACAUGGCAAUCCAAAUGCUCUGGAUGAAUUGCAUGAAGUGAAACAAAAUUAUCGUUAAUUUUCUUUAAUCAACAAAUUUUUUUUUUAUUGUCAUAACACAUCAAAAAGUUUAGGCGAACCAUGAUUUUUCAAAUUGGGUGAAUAAGAAAAAUAAAUUUCCCCUUUUCCUGGGUAAGAUAAGGAGGAGGAGGAGAAGAGCUCCAUUGGUUCCCUUCCGUCAGUAUAUGCCAUAUGCCCAUUAAUAUGAGAACCGUCCACCUUCAUCUAUUUCCACAAUCAUUUAAUUUCACCAUUAUGGCAACUGCAGUUCUGAUAAGUUCACAAUUACAAAACAGGGUUUGUAGCUAGCUCCCAGCUGCGCCUUGACUUUUGAGAAACUUGAUACAACAAUGAUAAUUAAUUUUACAAAGACGAGAUGACUAAGAAAAUGCAACUAUUUUUUUGGAAUCAGAGAAACAUUUUACAUAAUUUCAUAACUUCAACAAAUGAGAGAAUUUCAAGCAAAACAUGCAUUUUUUAUUUGCUCUAUUGUACAUGCAACAAAAUGUUGCAAGUUCUGAUAAUCUCUACAACUAAAAAGGAAACAAAUUGAUAUCACCUAAAAAGGAAACAAAGUUAUGUAUAAACAUAUUAUUGUUGAUUUUUCACAAGUUAAAGGAAAACAAACUUCAAUUGUUCAUAGAUAUUAUCACUGAAAUCUUACAACUAUGCAAGAUAUGUCAUCCUUACUUUUUCUAGAAACUGCCUCGUCUAUCAAGCGCUUUGCAGCUGAAUGAGCAUCUUUGAUGUCUUUUAUAGUAUCCACUGCUUCUUGGUUUGACAUCACCUACAUGAAUUUUAAUAGAUAUUGGAAUACAAAAACCUAAAGCUUUAUCCUAUGAUUGGUCAGGUCUAGAAAACAAAGGCUAGUAACUAAAAAUCAGCUUUGAUUUUUGUUACUUUGAUUUUUCAUUAUUUACAAGUUUAUCUUAUCAUUUUUCUUACAAAGUAAAACAGAAAAUGUAAUAAUUAACAAUAAAGAGCGUUUGACCAACCUUCCAUAUCCCAUCACUUGCCAGAAUGAUGAACUCUGUGUCAUCAUCGAUUGUCUCUUCAGCCACAUCAGGUUCUGAACUAAGGUGUAUCUUCAAGCUCUUAUCACCAAAUGCCCUUGCAACGGCUAGCUGUCCAUCAACACGUGGAACAUCCCCAGGAAGGUUUGACACAAAACCACCACGACUCUCUAUCGUAUUCUUUUCUUUGCUUGGUUCAUGAUCGACAGAUAGUUGUUUGGCCACGCCAUUCUUGGAUAUGACAGCCCGAGAAUCUCCCACAUUUGCUACUACCAGCUUCUGACCAUUGAUCAGGAUUGCUGUAACAGCAGUUGAUCCUCCUUUACCCAAGACAAAUGCUUUUUCCAGUAUUUCAACAUCCGUUGUAUGAUAAGCUCUCCUUAUUGCACUCUCUGUAUCUGUCCAGAAGUCAUGCUCUUUCAAAAUAUUGUCAAACAAAUGGGUUUGCAAGUAAUUUGCAACAUCAUGGCCCAAAUGGCCAUCAAAUAUUGCAAAUAAACCCAACUCAUUGUUAUUUACUUGCUUGAAAUCAGAAAAUACAUAAUCUUCCAUGGCAUGAUUUGAUUUUCCCUUCAUCAAGUGAUAACCAUGUGUGAUAUGCUUUGACAUUUUGCUUUUGCCUUUUCCUGUCUCAGACGAUGAACAAAAUCCGGCCUUCACCUUCAUCUUGUGCAGAAUUUCUCUGCUAGUCAUGGUGGUAAGAAAAUGAGUGAUCUUUGAGAGAGAGAGAGAGAGAGA